AACGAACGUUAGCGGCGCGCCUAACACAUGCAAGUCGAGCGAGAAAGGGAGCAAUCCCCGGUACAGCGGCGCACGGGUGAGGAACACGUAGGUAAUCUGCCUUCGAGUGGGGGAUAACCUUCCGAAAGGAGGGCUAAUACCGCAUAAGACCACGACCUCGCGAGGGGAUGAGGUCAAAGCCGGCCACUAUACAUAAGCUGGCGCUUGAAGAUGAGCCUGCGGCCCAUCAGCUAGUUGGUAGGGUAAUGGCCUACCAAGGCGUAGACGGGUAGCUGGUCUGAGAGGAUGAUCAGCCACACUGGAACUGAGACACGGUCCAGACUCCUACGGGAGGCAGCAGUGGGGAAUCUUGCGCAAUGGGCGAAAGCCUGACGCAGCGACGCCGCGUGGGUGAUGAAGGCC
rnacentral:rRNA from 1 species